rnacentral:tRNA from 1 species
UCCCAGGUGGCCUAGCGGGUUAAUGAUCCAGCGUUGUCACUGCUGUGGCAUGGGUUCGAUCCCUGGCCUGGGAA